GCACUGAUGGUUCAGUGGUAGAGUUCUGACCUUCCGUGUGGGAGACCUGGGUUCAAUUCCCGGCCAAUGCA
rnacentral:tRNA from 1 species